AUUGAACGCUGGCGGCAUGCUUUACACAUGCAAGUCGAACGGUAACAGGUUAAGCUGACGAGUGGCGAACGGGUGAGUAAUGCAUCGGAACGUGCCCGAUCGUGGGGGAUAACGCAGCGAAAGCUGCGCUAAUACCGCAUGCGAUCUGAGGAUGAAAGCGGGGGACCGUAAGGCCUCGCGCGAUCGGAGCGGCCGAUGUCAGAUUAGGUAGUUGGUGGGGUAAAGGCUCACCAAGCCAACGAUCUGUAGCUGGUCUGAGAGGACGACCAGCCACACUGGGACGGGGACACGGCCCAGACUCCUACGGGAGGCAGCAGUGGGGAAUUUUGGACAAUGGGCGAAAGCCUGAUCCAGCAAUGCCGCGUGCAGGAAGAAGGCCUUCGGGUUGUAAACUGCUUUUGUACGGAGCGAAAAGGCUCUCUCUAAUACAGGGGGCUCAUGACGGUACCGUAAGAAUAAGCACCGGCUAACUACGUGCCAGCCGCCGCAGUAA
rnacentral:rRNA from 1 species